GACGAACGCUGGCGGCGUGCUUAACACAUGCAAGUCGAGCGGUAAGGCCCUUUCGGGGGUACACGAGCGGCGAACGGGUGAGUAACACGUGGGUGACCUGCCCUCAGCUCUGGGAUAAGCCUGGGAAACUGGGUCUAAUACCGGAUAUGACUCCAUGACGCAUGUUGUGGGGUGGAAAGCCUUGUGCGGCUGAGGAUGGGCCCGCGGCCUAUCAGCUUGUUGGUGGGGUGANGGCCUACCAAGGCGACGACGGGUAGCCGGCCUGAGAGGGCGACCGGCCACACUGGGACUGAGACACGGCCCAGACUCCUACGGGAGGCAGCAGUGGGGAAUCUUGCGCAAUGGGCGAAAGCCUGACGCAGCGACGCCGCGUGAGGGAUGACGGCCUCGGU
rnacentral:rRNA from 1 species